rnacentral:lncRNA from 1 species
UAUGUUUAAUCUCAGUUAUAUUCUUCUCCCGUGCUUUCUCACAUGGUAUCAGAGCUUUGGUGAGAUAAUUAUCGUUGUGUGUCAUUCCAACGACAUCCGGGAAGAAAUAACUCAGUCACCGUGCAAUUUUCCGGUGACCUAAGUGACUAAUUGCGUCAAAGCACUAAUUAUCAGCGUUGUGCAAAAAACAACCCCACCACAAGGUUCCCAAGAGAGAUCCGACCAAACCCCACCGGAAAACUGCCCUUCACGCGCCCGAUUUAUCAAGGUAGAUCCGACUCACGCGCCCCACGCGCGCGUGAGCACUGUUCCGGUGAGAUUUUGACGAAGGUCCUUCAGGGCAGUUGGAUCGCACUCAAAUUCCGACCCUACCCAUAUUUUUACUUUUCAAUUCCGACCACUUUGAAGUUUUUCCGGUAUCUACAGUAAUUUUCCGGCAAAAACAAUAUUUCCUUCAUCUAAUUCAGCAAGUUUUCAGUUUUCAGUUGAUUCUUUCUGAUUAUUUGGUGAUAAUCCAACGAUGUCUUGGGGACUCGAUGCUUUCGGGUCUAGAAACCUGGGUUCGAUGUUAACUACAUAUGUAACAAGCUCUACAUAUGAUUUAUAUGCACCAGCUUGAGGGGGAGUGUUAGAAUAUGUAAUAGUAGAACCUAAUCCAAUGUGUAUUAGGAGUAGCCUAAUCCAAUGUUUAUUAGGAGUAGGAUAGGUUAUGUGUAUAUAUAUAGGGCUCAUUGUAUCAUGUUGUAAUAGUAGAACCUAAUCCAAUGUGUAUUAGGAGUAGCCUAAUCCAAUGUUUAUUAGGAGUAGGAUAGGUUAUGUGUAUAUAUAAGUUGUAGUUAUAUUAAGAAAACCUAAAGAAAUCCCAUAAAGCCAUAUGUUUCAUUAAUACAAAAAGUACAACCCGGUAUAAUUCCACUUAGUGGGGUUCGGGGAGGGUAGUAUGUACGCAGACCUUACCCCUACCCUGGGAUAGAGAGGCUGUUUCCAAAU